CCCUUAGAUGUCCUGAGCCGCACGCGUGCUACAAUGACACAUUCAACGAGCACUUCCUGAUACGAAAGUAUUUGGGUAAUCUGUGCAGUGUGUGUCGUGUUAGGGAUAGAUCUUUGUAAUUAUGGAUCUUGAACGAGGAAUUCCUAGUAAGCGCAAGUCAUCAGCUUGUGCUGAUUACGUCCCUGCAAAAUGUACACACCGCCCGUCGCUUUUACCGAUUGAGUGCUCAGGUGAGCCUUCUUGAUAGUUGCAAGACUAAAAAUUAAGCAAACCUUAGCACUUAGAGGAAAAAGAAGUCGUAACA
rnacentral:rRNA from 1 species